AGAAAGAGAGAGAAGAGAGUAGAGAGAAAAAAAUCCAAGAUUUGAUCAAAAUCUCAGCUCCAAUCUCAAAGCCCGUGAAGAGAAAAGUGUAGUACGAGUUGUCAUCGUCAUUUUAAGCUAAAUAUUGACCUUGGGGAAGGAGAUUUUCGUGGUUGAGCUACUGCUAAGGUAUAUAUGCUCUUGUACAAGCUAAGAGGAAUUAUUUGACGAAGUGGACUUUGGUUGGUCUAUGGCGUAGAUGAUUUGAACUCCUCGAGUUGUGGUAGAACUUGUUGUGUGGUAAAACGUCGAGGUAAUGUGCGAGAUGAGGUAUGAAGAUGACCACUUGGAGUAUACUUUUGGGAGCCUUGGUGAAGAUCACAUGUGCAUAUGUAUUUAGUUUUUGUAAACUUUUUGGGGACUUGUACAUGAUACAGGUGUGGCACCUAUGUAUAAAAUUUUGGAAGCUUGUGGAAAACAAGACCAUGUGCUUGUAACUUAAACUUGGUGACUGGUUUUGCUAUCUUAGGGUGUGCUUUUAACCCAAG